UGAGGCUGUUGCUGGUCGUGUGUGGAUUUGAUGUCACAUCAUCAUCAUCACCAUCAUCAUCCUCACCACCUCAUCCUCAUCAUCAUCUGCAGCCAGAGACAGAGACACAAAGA
rnacentral:ribozyme from 1 species